ACACAAGCAAAGAGAAAAAAACCGGGGGGGGGGGAGAAAGGGUACAUCGUUCUAGUAGGGUUUUUCAGUGGAGAGAACUAGAUUCCGGGAAGAAACGUUUUUCAGAUUAGUUUGUUUCAACAGCUUUUAAGUUCGAAUACCAAACAAAACCAUAAAUCAUUUAGGCACGCCCCAGCUCUUGUUCUGAAGGAUUCGUUGAAACGGGAGUCUGGGACUAAGGUUCACCAUGCUAAUAUCCAAGCCUCCAAGGCUAGUUGCUGACAUUAUUAGAACAACAUU